UCGUUGGAAAGUAUCUGAGAGAGGGGGCUGGAGACUGUGAGGUUCUACUUGGUAUUAAAUGCAUAUUUUUAUAACCAGCUACAUAUCAAAAUUAUCAUGACUUUUAAUAUACUCUGCAUUUAUGUUACCUCAUUGUUGUAAUAAAGGUCGGAUCCCUGCUGGAUGACAGCCUCGAUGCUCAAGUGCACAGCAAGAGAUUUGACUCCAGAGCUGGUAUCUGUUACAUUUUUUUCCUCAAAAGAAACAAGAUAAAGGUUUAAUUUCUGUUUUGAUGUGGAGCAAGAAAACAUGUGCAAGGAUGUUUCUGAGACUCUUCCAGUUAAUAGUUAUGUGACACUAUUUUUCCUCAUGAGAGUUUGUAUAACUCAGACUAAAGUAACUUGCAGUGAAUCUGUUCCUGUAAAACUGUUUAGUGUUUGGAGUUCAUCUUUUG